CGCACGGGUGCGUAACGCGUAUGCAACCUACCCACAACUGGGGGAUAGCCCGGAGAAAUCCGGAUUAAUACCCCAUAAUGCAGGGGUACUGCAUGGUACUAUUUGCUAAAGAUUUAUCGGUUGUGGAUGGGCAUGCGUCUGAUUAGUUAGUUGGUGAGGUAACGGCUCACCAAGGCGACGAUCAGUAGGGGGUCUGAGAGGAUGAUCCCCCACACUGGUACUGAGAUACGGACCAG
rnacentral:rRNA from 1 species